rnacentral:tRNA from 1 species
ACCGACCUUAGCUCAGUUGGUAGAGCGGAGGACUGUAGUUGGUUUAAACAGACAUCCUUAGGUCACUGGUUCGAAUCCGGUAGGUCGGAAUUA